UACGAAGGGGGCUAGCGUUGUUCGGAAUUACUGGGCGUAAAGCGCACGUAGGCGGAUCGAUCAGUCAGGGGUGAAAUCCCAGGGCUCAACCCUGGAACUGCCUUUGAUACUGUCGAUCUGGAGUAUGGAAGAGGUGAGUGGAAUUCCGAGUGUAGAGGUGAAAUUCGUAGAUAUUCGGAGGAACACCAGUGGCGAAGGCGGCUCACUGGUCCAUUACUGACGCUGAUUCACGAAAGCUAGGGGAGCAAACGGG
rnacentral:rRNA from 1 species